rnacentral:rRNA from 1 species
CAACGAGCGCAACCCUUGUCUCUAGUUGCUAACGAAAGGGCACUCUAGAGAGACUGCCGGUGACAAACCGGAGGAAGGUGGGGAUGACGUCAAGUCCUCAUGGCCCUUAUGGGUAGGGCUUCACACGUCAUACAAUGGUGCAUACAGAGGGUUGCCAAGCCGCGAGGUGGAGCUAAUCCCAGAAAAUGCAUCGUAGUCCGGAUCGUAGUCUGCAACUCGACUACGUGAAGCUGGAAUCGCUAGUAAUCGCGGAUCAGCAUGCCGCGGUGAAUACGUUCCCGGGUCUUGUACACACCGCCCGUCACACCAUGGGAGUGGGCUUUACCAGAAGUAGUUAGCCUAACCGCAAGGAGGGCGAUUACCACGGUAGGGUUCAUGACUGGGGUGAAGUCGUAACAAGGUAACC